UUACGGCCAUCUCCCGUUGAAACACCGGUUAUCGUACGAUGACGGAAGUUAAGCAACGUCCAUCCUGGUCAGUACCUAGAUGGGUGACCACUUGGGAAUACUAGGUGCUGUAAG